AGGACAAACGCUGGCGGCGUGCAUAACACAUGCAAGUCGAACGAGCCUAGCGAUAGGCGAGUGGCGGACGGGUGAGGAACACGUGGAUGACCGACCUUUUACUGGGGAAUACCCGUGGGAAACCACGGCUAAUACCGCAUACGUUCUGCAAAGAAGAAAGCCUUCGGGCGGUAAGAGACGGGUCUGCGGUCGAUUAGCUAGUUGGUGCGGUAACGGCGUACCAAGGCGACGAUCGAUAGCUGGUCUGAGAGGAUGAUCAGCCACAUUGGGAUUGAGAACGGCCCAAAUCCCUACGGGGAGCAGCAGUGAGGAAUAUUCGGCAAUGGGCGCAAGCCUGACCGAGCGACGCCGCGUGGGGGAUGACGCAUUUCGGUGUGUAAACCCUUUCUGUGGGACGAGAAUGGACGGUACCACAGGAAUAAGUCUCGGCUAACUACGUGCCAGCAGCCGC
rnacentral:rRNA from 1 species